rnacentral:lncRNA from 1 species
GCCCAAUACCAAUCUCCACACGCUCCAAUUCCCUCGUCCGCGCCGUCGCUGCCACGGCUCCCUGCAGUCCACCGCCCGUCGCCGGUGACGAGGGGGCCCGCGGCGCUGCCUACCAACCGCGGCUAGAGCCUCGCGGCGGCGGGGACGGACCUUUCCCCGUUCAGCCCUCUGGCCGCCCCAGUCCCAGCGGCCAACCGACAACCGCCGCCCCGUCGCGGAAGCUCUUGCAGGGUAAGUAGUUAGAUUUUGUCUCAUUGAGUUGCUUUUUCAACUUUUGUGCUUUGUUGGCCAAAUCCAUGCAUGGAUGACGGAUCAGAUCAUGAGAUGAGGAGUUCGACAUACCGUAAUCGCACAUUCUCUCAAAGAAAAAAAAAACAUCGCCGUGUUGGGGAAAAGUAAUGGCAUUCCAAGGUUCUGGACACACCAUUCUAAAAAAUGAUCAAUCAAUUAAUAAAAGUAUAGAGUUGUAGUGUUGACUUUUGAGAAAUGUGUUGAUAGAAGGUGUGUAACUAUAUACCUUUUGCUAAACUAUGUGCAGGAAGUUAAGAUAUAGAUGCAGACAUGCAGUAAGAGAGGGAUUUAUUAUUUAACUGGAUUACUUCCAUCUCUUGUACCAAAUUCACGCAAAACAUAUACUCUUUUAUUAUUCAAUGAGAAAAGCAAUGAGUGCAAUGGUGCUUUUUUAUCAUUUCAGGAGGAACUUCUUGAACCAAUGGGCAGAGUUCUUGGGGUAUCUCUUCCUUCCGUCAUUGUAAUCUACGAAGUUUAUCCCAAAUCGAACUGUGUAGCCG